UCAGCUGUCUGCAGGCCCACUCACUGUAUUUUUAGCAAAGGCUUCCAACAGCAACAUGAAGCUGGGAGGUUUCCUUCUCCUGGUGACCCUCAUCACCCUCAGCUUUGAGGCGCAGGAGAUCCAGGCUGCAGUGAGACCACUGCAGAUUUUGGGGUCCUGUGUUGAGCUCUGCAGUGGUGACUGGGACUGUGACUUACAUGAGCGCUGUGUCAGCAAUGGGUGUGGCCAUAUCUGUGCUGCAGACUGAGGUCAGAUGAAGUUUCAUCCUUCUUCAUUCCUGGAGUUCCUAUCUGCAAAGAUGUCACUGGAGAUCCUUGUUCACAAAGACAGAUGAAAAGGGGGCCUGUGGAUGGAGAUUAUAAAGGAUGGGGGAAGUAGGGGAAAGAGGGGAUGUUUCUUUGAAUAAA